rnacentral:ncRNA from 1 species
AUUCUGGUUGAUCCUGCCAGUAGUUAUAUGCUUGUCUCAAAGAUUAAGCCAUGCAUGUCUAAGUACACACGAAUUAAAAGUGAAACCGCAAAAGGCUCAUUAUAUCAGUUAUGGUUCCUUAGAUCGUUAACAGUUACUUGGAUAACUGUGGUAAUUCUAGAGCUAAUACAUGCAAUUAAAACACGGACCUUAUGGGACGUGUGCUUUUAUUAGGCUAAAACCAAGCGAUCGUAAAAUCGUUACAUUGGUUGAACUCUAGAUAACAUGCAGAUCGUAUGGUCUUGUACCGACGACAGAUCUUUCAAAUGUCUGCCCUAUCAACUUUUGAUGGUAGUAUCUAGGACUACCAUGGUUGCAACGGGUAACGGGGAAUCAGGGUUCGAUUCCGGAGAGGGAGCCUGAGAAACGGCUACCACAUCUAAGGAAGGCAGCAGGCGCGUAAAUUACCCA